UGGAGAAGAGUGAUGUUGUGCAAGACAUGAAGGAACAAUGGAAUUUGCACAAAUAUAAAAUGCUGUCUGCUAUUAAAAAUACAAAGCAAAAGAAUGUUAGCAGUAUCCUUGAAGAGCUGGAGGAUUGUCCAGUUGAAGAUGAGGAAGAGGUCAAGAACCGGUGUAUAAUGGCAUGUUUGCCUUUUGUGUUAGAUGACCAACGCACCUAUCGAGAUAUGAACAAAAAGCUAUUUUGGGACAUUGUUGAUGUAAGAGUUGAUAUUGUCACAAAUAAUAUUUUCUGCAUAAAUGUGUGAAAAAAUUGA